UACAGAGGGGGCAAGCGUUGUUCGGAAUUACUGGGCGUAAAGGGCGCGUAGGCGGCCAACUCAGUCGGACGUGAAAUCCCCUGGCUCAACCAGGGAACUGCGUCCGAUACUGGCUGGCUUGAAUCCGGGAGAGGGAUGUGGAAUUCCAGGUGUAGCGGUGAAAUGCGUAGAUAUUGGGAGGAACACCAGUGGCGAAGGCGGCUCACUGGACCGGUUCUGACGCUGAUGCGCGAAAGCGUGGGGAGCAAACGGG
rnacentral:rRNA from 1 species